rnacentral:rRNA from 1 species
UACAGAGGUCUCGAGCGUUAGGCGGAAUCACUGGGCUUAAAGCGUGUGUAGGUGGAUGCCUAAGUACCUUGUGAAAUCCCACGGCUUAACCGUGGAACUGCUUGGUAUACUGGGUGUCUUGAGUCACUCAGGGGCGAGCGGAACAAAUGGUGGAGCGGUGAAAUGCGUAGAUAUUAGGAGGAACACCGGUGGCGAAGGCGCUGCUCUGGGCCGAAACUGACGCUGAGGAGCGAAAGCCAGGGGAGCAAACGGG